GACGAACGCUGGCGGCGUGCUUAACGCAUGCAAGUCGAGCGGUAAGGCCCUUUCGGGGGUACACGAGCGGCGAACGGGUGAGUAACACGUGGGUGACCUGCCCUCAGCUCUGGGAUAAGCCUGGGAAACCGGGUCUAAUACUGGAUAUGACUCCAUGACGCAUGUUGUGGGGUGGAAAGCCUUGUGCGGCUGAGGAUGGGCCCGCGGCCUAUCAGCUUGUUGGUGGGGUGANGGCCUACCAAGGCGACGACGGGUAGCCGGCCUGAGAGGGCGACCGGCCACACUGGGACUGAGACACGGCCCAGACUCCUACGGGAGGCAGCAGUGGGGAAUCUUGCGCAAUGGGCGAAAGCCUGACGCAGCGACGCCGCGUGAGGGAUGACGG
rnacentral:rRNA from 1 species